UUUCUACUCCCUCCGUCCGAAAAUACUUGUCAUCAAAAUGGAUAAAAAGAGAUGUAUCUAAAACUAAAAUACGUCUAGAUACAUUUCCUUUUAUCCAUUUUGAUGACAAGUAUUUUCGGACGGAGGGAGUAUUUA
rnacentral:pre_miRNA from 1 species